rnacentral:sRNA from 1 species
CGUGUGGUCCGGAGUCAGUGGGUUAUCAAGUACUUGUACUACAUACUUCUCCUCUAUGUCCUUACUACAUCUUCUGUGUCUUCAAGGAUCACCACACCCACUGACAACACUUGACCACAC